UACAGGGGGUGCAAGCGUUACUCGGAAUCACUGGGCGUAAAGAGCGUGUAGGCGGUUUAGCAAGUCUGGUGUGAAAGCCCUGGGCUCAAUCCAGGAAGUGCAUUGGAUACUGCUAGACUAGAGUAUAGGAGAGGUGAGUGGAAUUCCCGGUGUAGAGGUGAAAUUCGUAGAUAUCGGGAGGAACAACAGAGGCGAAGGCGACUCACUGGACUAUUACUGACGCUAAGGCGCGAAAGCGUGGGGAGCAAACAGG
rnacentral:rRNA from 1 species